rnacentral:rRNA from 1 species
AACGUAGGAGACAAACGUUAUCCGGAGUUACUGGGCGUAAAGGGCGUGUAGGCGGUUUGUUAAGUCUGGCGUGAAAGCUCUCGGCUAAACCGGGAGAGGUCGUUGGAUACUGGCAAACUAGAGGACGGUAGAGGCGUGGUGGAAUUCCGGGGUGUAGUGGUGAAAUGCGUAGAGAUCCGGAGGAACACCAGUGGCGAAGGCGACACGCUGGGCCGUACCUGACGCUAAAGCGCGACAGCAUGGGGAGCAAACGGGG